GAUGAACGCUAGCGAUAGGCUUAACACAUGCGAGUCGAGGGGCAGCACAAGGUAGCUUGCUAUCUGGGUGGCGACCGGCGCACGGGUGCGUAACGCGUAUGCAACUUGCCCUAUACAGGAGGAUAACCCGUCGAAAGACGGACUAAUACUGCGUAUGCUCACAACUUGGCAUCAAGUGGUGAGGAAAGAAAUUCGGUAUAGGAUAGGCAUGCGUCCCAUUAGCUUGUUGGUGAGGUAACGGCUCACCAAGGCAACGAUGGGUAGGGGAACUGAGAGGUUUAUCCCCCACACUGGUACUGAGACACGGACCAGACUCCUACGGGAGGCAGCAGUGAGGAAUAUUGGUCAAUGGGCGCGAGCCUGAACCAGCCAAGUCGCGUGAAGGAUGACUGUCUUAUGGAUUGUAAACUUCUUUUAUACGGGAAUAACAAGAGUCACGUGUGACUCCCUGCAUGUACCGUAUGAAUAAGCAUCGGCUAACUCCGU
rnacentral:rRNA from 1 species